CCUACGGGAGGCAGCAGUGGGGAAUAUUGGGCAAUGGGCGCAAGCCUGACCCAGCAACGCCGCGUGAAGGAAGAAGGCUUUCGGGUUGUAAACUUCUUUUCUCAGGGACGAAGCAAGUGACGGUACCUGAGGAAUAAGCCACGGCUAACUACGUGCCAGCAGCCGCGGUAAUACGUCGGUGGCAAGCGUUAUCCGGAUUUACUGGGUGUAAAGGGCGUGUAGGCGGGAAAGCAAGUCAGAUGUGAAAACUAUGGGCUCAACCGGUGGCCUGCAUUUGAAACUGUUUUUCUUGAGUACUGUAGAGGCAGACGGAAUUCCUAGUGUAGCGGUGAAAUGCGUAGAUAUUAGGAGGAACACCAGUGGCGAAGGCGGUCUGCUGGACAGCAACUGACGCUGAGGCGCGAAAGCGUGGGGAGCAAACAGGAUUAGAUACCCCUGUAGUC
rnacentral:rRNA from 1 species